UCAUAUAAAUGACUAUUAAUUCCUUAAAUCAGGGGAACUCAUGACAACGCCAUUGGAAACCUAAAAAAAUUCGAUUGAAAAGUGCCAUCGAUUUGGGUGGAAACAGUGGUGAGCGUCUUUGUUUAGCUUCCAUCGAAAAUCCCCAUAACGGGAAAUCAACAUCGUCGAUCCUCCAUUAUUGAUUUAGCUUCGACCUCUGGCGAAAAAUCGGCCAGGUGCAUCCCAAAAAUAUAGUACUUAUAUUAUGCUUCUCCUUCCUUGCGAUUUACUCCCCAAAAAAAUUAUAUUGAAGCCCAUAGAGAAUCAAAGCUGAGGGUUUUUCUAUUCUUGUGUUUUUAUACGAAUGGCUAUUUUCACCGAUUCAAGAAUAUGCCUCUCUCAAAUUUAAUGUUCUCUUUACUGUAAUCCCAUUUCUUCCUUUAUAUGAUUGUAAUUUCAACCAUAUUACAUAUUUCUGGGAGUCCGAUUCGCAUACGGCUAUUUAUAGGCAGUUCAACAUGGCCUUUUCCCUGUCGAACAGCUUCAGGUAAAGUCUCCAUAACUUUUCAAGAAAAUGCCCUCUUUCAACGAGAUUGCAAAUGGGCAUUGACUCUCUUCGCCAAUCAUCUGACUCGUCUUCCACGGUUCGUCUCAAUAUAAGGGAAGGGAAGUCUAUAAUUGAUUGAAGAGCCUCAAAAUGCUGAAGAGAAAGUUUGGGAUACAAGGGAGUGACUACUUUUUGCAUGGGCCAAAAUCAAUUAGUACAAAUUACAUUAACAGUUGUGCAUCUUAUUACCUUUUCAUGAAAAGUGAGAUAUAUUUUGUAUAAAAUAUUGUCUGAAUUGAAUAUGAAAUAACAGUGAAUAUAUAUGUAUAUAUGUAUAUAAAAAGUUUUCUUAAGCUAUAUAAAUUUAUUCCUGUUAGUAAU